CUCCAUUAAAUAUACUAAGCAUACUUUUUAACUUGCAAUAGAUUUUGCUUACGUUUCCUGCCUGAAAUUCCUCCCUUUUCUUUUAGUCAUUGAGCUACCAAUCUGAAAGUUAGCCUUCUCCACUCAUUGAUGCAUGGGCUAAAACCCAGAAUUGGAGAAAUGAAAGCUUAUGCCAUUAGCCAUGAUAAGUGGUUCCGUCCUGAAAUUCUGAAGAUAAACUUCAUGUGAACAAUUUCAGUGGCACUCAUCCACAGACUAUUCAGAACCAAUUUUGAAUCCUAGCUAUUAGCCACCUCAA
rnacentral:misc_RNA from 1 species